rnacentral:rRNA from 1 species
ACUGAGGACAUAACUGUCUCCUGAGGCCAACUAAUGAAACUGAUCCUCUGGUACAAAAGCCAGAAUAACUACACAAGACGAGAAGACCCUGUGGAGCUUAUAACCUAACCGCUACUACUAGUGCCAAACCCCUUACGAGGCCCAGCACACAAAACCUAGCCGUCAUUUUAAGUUGGGGCGACUACGGAGUAAAACAAACCCUCCAAGAUUUCAUAGGCUACACAACCUCUAAAACGGCACACACGCCAACAAGCCACCAAAAACUGACCCAGUACCACUGACUACCGAACCAAGUUACCCCAGGGAUAACAGCGCCAUCCCCCUCAAGAGUCCUUAUCAACAGGGGGGUUUACGACCUCGAUGUUGGAUCAGGAC